UACGUAGGGUGCGAGCGUUAAUCGGAAUUACUGGGCGUAAAGCGUGCGCAGGCGGUUUUGUAAGUCAGAUGUGAAAUCCCCGGGCUCAACCUGGGAACUGCGUUUGAAACUACAAGGCUAGAGUGUAGCAGAGGGGGGGUAGAAUUCCACGUGUAGCAGUGAAAUGCGUAGAGAUGUGGAGGAAUACCAAUGGCGAAGGCAGCCCCCUGGGUUAACACUGACGCUCAUGCACGAAGCGUGGGAGCAAACAGGAUAGAAACCCCGA
rnacentral:rRNA from 1 species